rnacentral:lncRNA from 1 species
CUUCACACCAGGUUUUGCUUUGUUUUGUUCACAGGCCCUGAACUAAGCUGCAGGAAUAGGGUCUGUGGGCUUGGAUCUCCUAUUGCUCCUUGGUUCCCACAAGCUGCUGAGGGCCUUUCCUGGCUUGGAGCCACACCCAACUUAUCAGCAUGGUCAUCUUCUUUCCAAAAUUGAGCCUACCUACCAGAGGGACCAUGGUUCACUAGAUCACCUCCGGAGCUGUUAGUUACAACAAUACCCGUGGUUUAUCGAAUGAUUUCCACAUGACUGAAGCCAAGUUAAAUACAUACAUCCUGUCAUCUGAUGGCCAGAACAGCUUAAUGAGGUUCCCCAUGGAGCAGCCGCAAGAAGAGGUAAAGCAGGCAGUCCUCAGGCUGAGCGAAGGAACAUUCUCAAGUUUUUAGGGAGUACCGAGAAAAUGAAAUAUCGUUUGUAUUGUCAUGACACCUAAACAAAUGGUCGAUUCCACGGGUCAAAUAUCAGCCAGAGGAGUUAAGGAGCAUCUUCAGUGAAGGGAGGAAAGGAGCAACAGGGAAAGGACCAUAAGCAAGACGCUCAGUGGCAUCCUGGUACGUGGCUCCUUUUAAGACUAGUAAUACCUGUUUGCCUUAUGGUGGGAUGUUUGUUUUACUUUCAUGAAAGAUGCUGGUAAGUUAGAACAUGUCUAAAAUCUACAAGGAUUUUGAACCCCUCUAUCUGGCUCAAUAAUCCUUUCCACAUCCUGAGACCUGAAUCAAGAUGUAAGGUUUCAACUAGGUUAGAAACCAUUCUCUUAAAUAACAAGUAUAAACCAAAUCUGAGUCUCAGAUUUGCUCUUUUUUUCCUGGCC